ensembl:miRNA Mir6939 microRNA 6939
CAGCCAGGGCAGCUGGUUGGUGGAAGCCAUGCAACAGCGCCCCCAGGUGCCUGAGGCCUCACUUGACCCGCUGCAG